AGAGCCUCAUAACAUCCAGCGUAGACUGGCACUGUGAAAAGGGGUAAGUGAAACGUGAAUAACCUGCCUAUGACUCUGGGAUACGCGUUGGAAACGACGUCUAAUACCGGAUACGAGCUAGGACCGCUUGAUCACUAGCUGGAAAGAAUUUUGGUCAAGGAUGGACUCGCGGCCUAUCAGCUAGUUGGUGAGGUAGUGGGCGCGCCAAGGCGACAACGGGUAACCGGCCUGAGAGGGUGACCGGCCACACUGGGACUGAAACACGGCCCAGACUCCUACGGGAGGCAGCAGUGGGAAAUAUUGCACAAUGGGCGCAAGCCUGAUGCAACACCGCCGCGUGAGGAACGACGCCUUUCGGGUUGGAACCCUCUU
rnacentral:rRNA from 1 species